GACGAACGCUGGCGGCGUGCCUAAUACAUGCAAGUCGAGCGGACCGGAUUGGGGCUUGCCUUGAUUCGGUCAGCGGCGGACGGGUGAGUAACACGUGGGCAACCUGCCCGCAAGACCGGGAUAACUCCGGGAAACCGGAGCUAAUACCGGAUAACACCGAAGACCGCAUGGUCUUCGGUUGAAAGGCGGCCUUUGGGCUGUCACUUGCGGAUGGGCCCGCGGCGCAUUAGCUAGUUGGUGAGGUAACGGCUCACCAAGGCGACGAUGCGGAGCCGGCCUGAGAGGGUGACCGGCCACACUGGGACUGAGACACGGCCCAGACUCCUACGGGAGGCAGCAGUAGGGAAUCUUCCGCAAUGGGCGAAAGCCUGACGGAGCGACGCCGCGUGAGCGAAGAAGGCCUUCGGGUCGUAAAGCUCUGUUGUGAGGGACGAAGGAGCGCCGUUCGAAGAGGGCGGCGCGGUGACGGUACCUCACGAGAAAGCCCCGGCUAACUACGUGCCAGCAGCCGCCGUAA
rnacentral:rRNA from 1 species